UGCUUCCUAUCGACAUACACACUCUCAAAGACGAGUGGUCCCGUCAUUACCCGCACACCCCACUAUCAUUUUUCUUUUGCAGUAUUAUCUCUCUUAUCCCUCACGGAGGUAUUUCUCGCUCGCAUAUAAACACGCGUGCCUACCGCCCCCCUAACCCACUCCAUACACACAAACACUGCCGCACGUCCUCUGAAGCAUGUCGUCUCCCAGCAGCUUCAAGAAGCUUCAGGUCGUCUCCCUCUCCAAAGACUUCCGCAGCUCCACCUCCGUCGUUGAGGCGCAGCUGCCGGAGGAAGUGCCGGAGGGGAUGGUUCGCGUGUCUGUCAAGUACGCCGGCGUCAACGCGAGCGACUUGAACUUCACGAAUGGUUCGUACCUCAAGAACGCGCGGCCACCCUUCGACUGUGGAUUCGAGGCGGCCGGCACAGUGGUGAAGAUCGGUGCCGGUGUCGCGAACGUGAAGGAGGGUGACCCCGUCGUGCUAAUGCAGUACGGCUGUUUUGCUGAGUUCCUCGACGCACCUGCAGAGAUAUGUAUACCAGUGCCAGAGUUGAAGCCUGAGUACAUUGUGCUCCCUGUCAGCGCUCUCACGGCCGCCGUCGCGCUUGGCGAGGUGGGUCGCGUAAAGAAGGACGACGUGGCGCUGGUGACGGCGGCGGCCGGUGGCACGGGCCAGAUCGCGGUGCAGUUGCUCAAGCACGUCUACGGUUGCACGGUGAUUGGCACCUGCUCCUCCGAGGAGAAGGCCCGGUUCCUCAAGAGCAUUGGCUGCGACCACGUUAUCAACUACAAGACGGAGAGCCUUGACAGCCGCCUGCACAUGCUUUGUCCGAAAGGCGUGGAUGUCGUCUACGAGUGCGUUGGCGGCCAGACUUUCAACGAUGCCGUCCGCCACGUCGCCGUGCACGGCCGUGUUGUGAUCAUCGGCUCCAUUUCGAGCUACAAGAGCGGUGAAGCGGUGCCCUUUUCGCACCCCAGCGGCACCUCGAUGACGAUGCUGCUCCUAACCAAGUCUGCGUCCCUGAACGGUUUCUUCCUUCCGCAGUUCUACGACGUCAUCCCGAAGUACAUGGCAAGCCUGCUGCAGUACCUCAAGGCCGGCCAGGUCAAGCUCUUCGUGGACGAGAAGGUGUUUCAUGGAUUGAGCAGUGUCGCAGACGCCGUUGAUCAUCUGUACUCGGGCACGAGCUGCGGUAAAGUCUUGGUUGAAAUCCAGUAGUGCCGAAGGAGAGUGCGAGCGCUGCAUCGCAUGCGCCGGUUUUUGUAGGGGAAUUCGGCUGCCAGAGAAACGGCGGGCGGUAGAGGAAAAAGGAAACGGGCUGCCGUUAUUUCGGUGUGGAUGUGUGCGUGUCCGUACACCAAUCGGCGAGGUGAAAAAAGGCGGAACAAGCCCGUCACGGCAAUCAAAAGCGCAUAGACAGCCUGCGUCCACGCUCUCGUCGCCCCCGCAUUCCCCUCGACCGACGUCUGUGGCGUUAACGCGCGCGCACCAUGGCACUCCAGUCUAGCGCUCCCCUUCCCUCCCCUCAACCUUUUCAACGCGCCGUCUCUGCGCCUUCCCUCCUCCUUUUUGCUCACUUUCUGGCUCUUCUGGACUUGCGCUGGUCUGCGUGCGCGUUUUCGCGCAUACUGUUGUAG
rnacentral:misc_RNA from 1 species